rnacentral:rRNA from 1 species
GACGAACGCUGUCGCCGUGUGUAAUACAUGCAAGUAGAACGCUGAAGGAGGAGCUUGCUUCUCUGGAUGAGUUGCGAACGGGUGAGUAACGCGUAGGUAGCCUGCCUGGGAGCGGGGGAUAACUAUUGGAAACGAUAGCUAAUACCGCAUAAGAGUAGAUGUUGCGUGACAUUUGCUUAAAAGGGGCAAUUGCAUCACUACCAGAUGGACCUGCGUUGUAUUAGCUAGUUGGGGGGGUAACGGCUCACCAAGGCGACGAUACAUAGCCGACCUGAGAGGGUGAUCGGCCACACUGGGACUGAGACACGGGCCCGACUCCUACGGGAGGCAGCAGUAGGGAAUCUUCGGCAAUGGACGGAAGACUGACCGAGCAACGCCGCGCGAGUGAAGAAGGUUUCGGAUCGUAAAGCUCUGUUGUAAGAGAAGAACGAGAGUGAGAGUGGAAAGAUCACACUGUGACGGCAUCUUACCAGAAAGGGACGGCUAACUACGUGCCACCAGCCCCGCGAAUACGUAGGGGGGAAGCGUUAUCCGGGUUUAUUGGGGCGUAAAGAGAGUGCGGGGGGGUUUUCUAAGUCUGAUGUGAAAGCCUUCGGGUCAACCGCAGAAGUGCAUCUGAAACUGGAUAACUUGAGUGCGGAAAAGAGUAGUGGGACACCCUGUGUAGCGGGGGAAAACGUAGAUAUAUGUGAAAAAAACCCGUGGCGAAGGGGGUCACCCGGGCUGCGAAUGAGCUGAGACUCGAAAGCAUAGGUAUCGAAAAGAUUAUAUACCCCCUUAUUUCCCAGGCGAAAACCCCCUUUUGGUGUACCCCCGGGGACUCCCUUGUUUUAGAGCGCCCCCCCCCGGGGCGCCCAUUUUCCCCCUAGAGGGGUGAAAAAAAGCGCCCCCACUAGAGCUUUUUAAAAAGCUCGCUCUGGAAAACCCCCUGCCGUUCCAAAUAUAUCCUGGGAGAAAUUCCUUUUUUUUGUGUGUAUAAAAUUG